ensembl:lncRNA DAB1-AS1 DAB1 antisense RNA 1
GGAAUACGAAGGGAGAAUGAAACAAAACUGCUCCGCUUAGGGAACUUGGAAAGGAAAUUGAAAAGUUGACAUGCAGGCUGGACAUACAGUGGGCCUCGAUUGCUUAGAAGCCAAACUGAACUCACCAAGAAAAGAAGACAGGAGAAACUUCUCAAGAGGAAUAUCUCCAAAUUGCAGGAUCGAAUACCAUAAGAGGAAUUCUGGACUGAAGAGUUAUGAAGUCAUUUCAGACACUUCCAGACAAUUUGUGUUAAUUAAAUUCUCACUGGUUGAGUUCCAUUCUACACUGGAAGAGCAUUUUUCCUGGAAAGGCUCCUCAAAAUGUACCUUUGGCAAACACAGAGAGGUAUGCUCAUAGAAGAGGUGAGUUUGGAACUGCAAAUCCUCCCAGCCUCAGGACCUCUCUUUUGGUUGCCUGCUCUGCUACAAAGCUGGAGAUCUAAAGUGGAGGCGUGUAGAAGACACCGUCUGGCUGGACACCAUCAAGAGUCACCUCCUCAGUGAAGCCUUCCAUGGUUUCAUACCACCCAUCCCUAUCGGAAUGAAUGUAUCCUUGUUCUCCGUUAUCCCAGUAUUUUGCCUGGGCUUCUGUCACACUACUUUCAAUGUCUAUACCUCAGUUAUCGAAUCGAAAAACAAGAGUCAUCAGUCUCUAAGGUCCUUGCAAGCUUCAAAACUUUAUAUUUUUGUCAAUUACAACUGAAUAAAGCUGAACAACUUAUUAUUUAUGGAUACUUGCUCAAGCACCAUAUAACUCUUUCAGAUAUUUUAAAA